GGGCCUAUAUUUUAGUGGUAGAAUACCUCUUUUGCAAGGAGGAGGCGGCAGUCCGAUUCUGCCUAGGUCCACCA
rnacentral:tRNA from 3 species